rnacentral:lncRNA from 1 species
GGGGCAUUCUAGAUUAGUUAGAUUGAGUGGGAGCACGCUAUAAAGAUAAGGAUAAAGAUAAAGAUAAAGGAAGAGGUGACAAUUUGGGUCACAAAAGUACCUGGAGCUAUUGAAGGAAAGAGACGUUAAAUUAAUUAAAAUGGGAAAUUCAACUUCUACGGAUAAGGAAAUGUAUCUAUUUUAGACAGUAUAAUUAAUCAGAAAGGAAAACAGAUAAAGAAAGCUCAGUUAUUACAAUUCUUAAAGAUUGUAGGUGAAUAUUGUCCUUGGUUUUGUGAACAAGAGUCUCCAAAUUUAUCUACUUGGGAGAAAUUAGGAAGAAAGUUACAAAAGGUUUAUUUUUCUAAUGAACUACCUGGAGGCAUAGAAAGUAUUCAGAAAACUUGGACAGCUUUAGAAGUUUGUCUUUUUGAAUAUAUGGGUCAAAGUUCGUGGCCCCCUGAAGACCUGUUAAAAGGCUUGCAAAGGGCUAUUAAGUCUAUUCAAAUGGAAAAUUCGCCUGAGGCUAAGUUAAUUCCUUUUCCCUUAGGCCGUUUAAAAACAAAGACAACGCUAAAAGCCAAACCUAAGGUUAGGAAUGUGACUUUAAACUUGCAGGACUAUACUAGCCUGCAGGGAGAUUCUAGGGACGGAGAUCAUAGAGGACAAACCUCCGAGAUCUUAGAAAGCCCUCCGGAAGAGGUAGAGGACCUUCCUACAGAGGAAAAUCCAGAAGAGAUUCCUAGAGGGGCUCAGAGUUCUUCUCCGCCACGUGGUUUAGAAACCCAAAUUCAAAAUAGCGAUAGUGCAGAGUCUGACCAUGAUUUGCAAUCUGAGGGAGAAGAAUCAGACAUGGAAAUUCAGGACUUACAGAGGAAUCUUAACAGGCUGCGUUUAACACCGCCUGUCCAGGCUAUUCGAAUUCGGCCGGUACCUGCUAAAAGGACAAAAUUUAACAGGUACGCUGGGUUAACAAUGACUUUUCUUACCCCGUUCCAGCGAGGUAUUAAGAAAGCACAGGAAGAUGGGGAGGAUACUAGCGGUUUUCAACUUUUUCCAGUUUUUGAGCAAGUUAAUGAACAAGAUCAGAGAGUUAGAGUUCAUGCUGUAAUCCCAUUUAAAACCAUUAAGGAGCUAAAAAGUACAUGUGAGACAUAUGGUCCAAAUUCCCCUUUUGUACAGAGCCUGAUAGAAAAUAUUUGCUCACAACCCCUUCCUCCUAGCUAUUGGAUUUCUUUAGCCAGAUCUUGUCUGAGCGGGGGAGAUUUCUUACUUUGGAGGACUUACUGGACUGAUUUCUGUACUGAACAGGCAGAAAAGAACAAAAGACAGGAUAUAGAAACGCCAGUAGAAAUGUUUCUAGGGACAGGUGAAUUUACUGACCUAGAAAGACAGUUAAAUUAUGAUUUUGUAGUGUACAAUCAAAUAACUGAUUGUGCAAAACGUGCCUGGAGGCAAAUUGUCUCUAAGGACCAAUCCAAUUUAGUUCUUACCAAAAUCAGGCAAGGUGCGAGUGAACCUUACUCAGAUUUCGUAGCCCGGUUGUACCAGGCUGCAAACAGGUCAAUCGGGGACUCGGGAGCGAGUGAGUUCAUUGUUAGGCAAUUGGCAUUCGAAAACGCAAAUAAAUACUGUCAGGAUAUUCUUAGACCGCACCGUAAAAAAGGGACAGUUUCUGAGUUUAUUAGCUUAUGUUCUGACAUAGACUCUACUCAUUUACAAACAGUGACCCUAGCUGCAGCAAUAAAAGAAACCUUGAAAACCCCGGAUUUAGUACAAAAACCCCACGGAAAAUGUUACAUUUGCGGGAGAAAUAAUCAUUUUGUGCGGGAGUGUCGCAUGCGCAAUUCUAAGUUCAGGGCUCCAUCUACUGGCGAUAAUAGAUAUUGCAGGGCUCAGCCCCAUGCGGUAGAUCAAGAUGGCGCGGAUGAGCCCGCCUUCUUGUCAUCAUUUCCGCCUGGCCGGAACACAAACUUCCGGUCGGCCCGCCCCCGGGCCGAAAAUGAGGAAGUAGGUGGUCGCGCAAUGUGACGUCAUCGCGCCGACCAUGGGGGCCGCCAUCUUUAAUUUUACCGGAGCGAAACGAACAGUUUCCGUACAAACCCCUAAUGAUUUUCAAGGCUUUUAAGAGAUACUAAUCGGCUGAAGCCAUCCUUAAAACUAACUACUUCUAAUUUAAGUCCUUUAUUUCAGAUAUUACAAGGAAAUCCCUCUCCAACCUCUCCACGUCAGCUAACCUUAGAGGCUAGAAUGGCUUUAAGGAGAGUUGAACAUGCAAUUAAAAAUGCACAGCUUACUAGAGUUGAUCCUAAAGAAAUAGUGUAUUUAUUAAUAUUUCCAACUGAACAUACCCCAACAGGAGCCAUAUGGCAAAGAUUAGGAGUUAUUGAGUGGAUUUAUUUAUCCCACUCUCCUCGAAAGACAUUAAUUCCUUUUCAUGAUUCUAUAGCUCAAUUAGUAAUUAAAGGUAGAACUAGGAUUUUACAAUUAAUUGGAUCUGAGCCUGAUAUCAUAAUUAUUCCAUUUUCUAUUCAACAGACUAAUUGGCUUUUUCAAACUUCUAGCUCAUGGCAAAUAGCUUUUGCUGAUUUUCCUGGCCAAAUAGAUAGCCAUUAUCCUCGUGAUAAGAUUAUACAAUUUGCAUCAUUAACGUCACUUAUUUUUCCAAAGAUUGUACGUGCACAUCCUAUAGAUGAAGCUUUAUCAGUGUUCACGGAUGGUUCUAACUCAGGUAAAGCAGGUUUUUAUAGUCGUGUUCACACAGAGGUAAUACAAACUUCUUAUACUUCUGCCCAAAGAGCAGAGCUUCAAGCUCUGAUUUGUGCCUUAAAUUACUUUUCAAAUGAGCCUAUUAAUAUUUAUUCUGACAGCUUAUAUGCAGUCGGAGUUACUAAAAAUAUUGAAACUUCAGUUAUUGGGUAUACUUCAUCACAAGAGUUAUUUGAGUUAUUUCAUAAUUUACAAAAGACAGUGCUAAUGCGAAAGUACCCAUGUUUCAUAGGACACAUACGGGCUCAUACUAAUCUUCCAGGACCCUUAGUUUCUGGUAAUGACAAGAUUGAUAAAUUAGUAACUUUUUGUCAACAGAUGUCUUCAUAUGACUGUGCACUAGCUUCCCAUUCCUUGCAUCAUCAAAAUGCUUCUAGCUUACGUAAAAAAUUUAUAUUACUAGAGAACAAGCUCGUCAGAUUGUAAGCCAAUGCCCUAAAUGUGUUAUUCACACUCCAUCUCUGCCAUCAGGGGUAAAUCCCCGUGGAUUAAAACCAAAUCAAAUAUGGCAAAUGGAUGUAACUCAUAUUCCUCAAUUUGGUAAACAAUGUUAUGUACAUGUCAUAGUGGACACUUAUUCUAGAUUUAUUUUUGCCACAGCACGUACUAAGGAAAAUACUCAACAUGUAAUUUCUCAUUGCUUAGCAGCUUUUUCUGUUUUAGGGUGCCCUAUGCAGAUUAAAACAGAUAAUGCUCCAGCUUAUGUAAGCUCUUCUUUUCAACAAUUUUGCCAAGAGUUUAAAAUUAAUCAUAAAACAGGAAUUCCUUAUAACCCUCAAGGCCAAGCCAUUGUGGAACGAGCUCAUUUAUCUAUUAAGCUUCAAUUACAAAAAUUAAAGGGGGGGAAUAGGUUUAUGACUCCCCAAAAUAGCCUUAAUCAUGCCUUGUUCAUUUUAAAUUUUUUAAACUGUGAUGCAGUGUUGAGAGCCACAGCCAAAGGGGCCCCAGCAAACUUCCAGCUGCCAGCAAACUUCCAGCUGCCGGCUGAUGAUUGGCUCACAGCGGCCCCAGCAACAUCUAGCUGAUUGGCUCCUCUGCGGUGAUGCUCAUUGGGCUGUUUCCCUGCCCUUUCAGACCACGGAGCUGCUCAUUGGGGGACUUUUUUGGCUCCGCCCACGUGACCCAGCCAAUCGGCCUCAAGAGCAGGAGGAUUGUGGGAGGUGGAGAGAAGCUUGUGUGGGAGAGAGAGGCUUGUGGAAAGCCGGUGGUGGCAGUUGAGGCUCUGAGGGUUUUUCCUGAGAGGCUGUUUUGUUUGGCGUGUGUGGUUCUAAAAAUAAAGUUAGUUUCUUUUGACAAGUGGCUCCUGAUUGUGCCCAGCCAGACUGCGGCAACGCAGAAGGUCACACUGCUGCUGAGAGACAAAUGUCUCCCUCAGUAACAGGCCCUUUAGGCAGAAUUUUGUGGAAAGAUUUACAGACUGGUCAGUGGAAGGGUCCAGACCCAGUGAUAAUGUGGGGUAGAGGUCAUGCUUGUAUUUUCCCAGAAGGCGCAUUUCGUCCUAUUUGGGUGCCUGAACGUGCUAUCAGACAUGGAAGAGAUAGAACCCAGAUUCAAGCGACUGAGGAUUGACCCGGAGGAGCCCCUAUCCAGAAGGAGGAGAUAUCGGAAAAGGAUGAAAAAAGACCAGAUUGACCCAGCCGAAAAGCUGAUUUCAUGGGAAGACUUGAAGAAACUAACAACCCAGGCUUCCUGAAUACUUCGACACCUAGGAGAGAACAGGACCCCAGUGAUGAUGGUAGCAACAGUAAUUGCCCUGUUGGGCUGUCAGGUAAAGGGGGAUCAAGUAGACACUUACUGGACAUAUUUCCCAGAUCCACCCCUGGUACACCCAGCUGUGUGGACUGGAGAAUCUAUUCCAGUAUUUACUAAUGAUUCAUUCAUGAUGGGAGGAUUUACAGAUACUCAUAUUACUCCCAAUCAUGUGACUAGAUUUAAUUAUUCUGGCUACAGUGCCCAAUUACCUUUGUGUUGGUCACACGAUAAACAUGCUGGCUGUCUGAAAGUAUCAUUCGAAGAAAAGACAGCGAUUGGAAGACCUAGACUGACAAAUAAUUCUAUUUAUGGGGACUUAAGACCUUAUACUAGAUCAGUAAUUAAGAUGGGACUUUCCCAUAACAAGCCAGUCAUUUCUGCAAAACCUCCACGGAUGCCCCACUGUCCAAAUAGUUCUACAAUUGAGAUUGGCACUUUUCCUAGAUGGAUGGAUUGUGUAAAUACCUUUCCUGUACAACAUAAGUUUUCUUUAAGAAACAGAACAGAGAGAGACAGACAGGUAGAAACACAGACUCCUCUGGAGAGGAGGGGGCCCAGAGCUGGUGCUGGAGGGAUUGGGGGUGUUCUGCCCCUUUUAGAUUGUAGGUUUCCUUUCUUCUCAUGCCCCCUCCUCCUCUUAUCUUGCCUACAUGACCAAAAGGUGGGAAAGGGCUGUCCAGGGGGUGCUCAUUAGCAACACCUUGCACUGAAAGAAGCAAUUCCCUGGAGGCAGAGGUAACCUUGGUAACAAGUUGUGAGGAGGGGGAAGUGCUCUGGAGGUAUUAGCAUUUUAUUUCCUUUUGAAUUAGCCCCCAUCUUUCCAAACAAUCAUCCAUUACCUACACUAUCUGUUCUUUGCCCUGGUCUCAGCAUCAUCAGUGUAUUAGUCCACUGAUGGCUGAAUGGACUACUGGGAGGUGGAACCCAGUUGGAGGAAGUAGGUCCCUGGGGUCAUGCCCCAGAAGGCUUUGUCUUCUCUCUGGCCCCUUCCUCUCUUUUUCUGCUUCCAUGAUGUCAUGAGCUGAGAGCAUUCCUCUACUGCACCCUUCCAUAGCUGCCUUGGAGCCAAUUGUGUACUGAAUCCUCCGAAACUAUGAGUCAAAAUAAAUCUUUCCUCCUCUAAGUUGUUUCUGUCAGAUAUUUUGGUCACAGUAAUACAAAGCUGGUAAACACAAUGACAACUUUUUUUUCUUUUAAGACUCCAAGGCAUGUGAGUGCUUUUAUUUAGAUGGAAAAUACCAGGUAAGUAGUUCAAGUGGAACCUAGAUGGAAACUUCUAAAGUGUAAGUAGUAAACAGAGGCAGCUCAGCAAGCCAGCUCCUGGCUGUGGUGUCAUUCAUUCAUCAAAUAUUUACUGAGUAUCUGUGCUGUUCCUGUCACUGGGCUGGUCUAUAAAAAUGGACUGGGCACCAUUCCUCCAAGGACUCACAAUCUAGAGGGAGCUACAGAAUUCAUGGAAAUAAAUACAGCAUAAACUAUAUCAUUUCCAACAGGGAAGUUAUGUUCCAAAUUGAAUCAUGUGCAGUGAAAGUUUACUAUAGCAAGUCCUUGAAGCUGUCACCAAGGAAAAACCUAAAUAAACCCUAUAGUUCCACUUUUUAAGUAAAUUGUUUGUCGCACUAACUUAAAAAUCACUAAUUUUGGAGGUGACACAGCCAGGCAAUACAUUAUCAGUCUCCCACUAGUUUGCAGUAGAUCACUCCCUGGACAUGUGGGUCACCAUGCUGAUGGCCGCCUAGGCCAUGCCUCAGGCAUUUGAAGUCCACUCUUGUUGAAAACACUGCCUCAUCACUUGGACCUAAAGAUGCCCCAUGUUGACUGGAACAGGAUGAAGGACUUGGCAUCUCUGUCUUCACACCAUGUCUGUCUCCUUUGUUGCCUUAACUUUUGGGUCAGAUUCUACUUGGACCCAUUAAAUGUUUGAGAAAAGUUUUUUGUCCAGAACUAUAAUGCAGAAUUAACUUGAUCUAAACUUUCUUUCUCUCCACUCCCUUCCCCUCUUCAUAGAAAAAGACACCAGCUACCAUGAUGAAAAACACAACAAUGAAAGGAGUGAAAAUAGGUAGCAACCAAGUUCCAGGAAACUCUCUGCCUGUUCCCAGAAAAGAAAAAAACUAUUCCUGCUCUUUCUCAGCCCAUCACUGUUCCUAUCCUACAUCUGUAGCCCUCAAUCCCCUGGAGUGGAGAAACUGAUUGUGAGCAAAGCUCCCUCUUCAUUUUUAAUCACUGAAUAAAGGCUUCCUCCCUGCAGAAGACAGGAUUGAACCCAGUGGGGGCUAAUCAUCAAGCCACAUCCCCAGCCCUUUUACAUUUUUAUUUUGAGAGACAGAGUCUUGCCAAAUUGUUUAGAGCCUUGCUAAGUUGCUGAGUCUGGACUUGAACUUGCAAUUUAGCCUGCCUCAAAAUCUGCCUCAGCCCCCCAAGUCAUUAGGAUUACAGGUGCACACCACCAGGCCAGGUUGAAUAAGGCCUUUCCUUCCCCACAACACUCAUCUCUCAGACAUUGGUCUUUCCAAAGAAUGAGCCUCCCAACCUGGAAUCUUCAUUCCCCUUCCCUGAAUGCAGCAUAAUUAAUUUUGUAGGUCAGAAGCACAGCUCAGGAGGCUGAGGCAAGAGGACCACAAGUUCAAGGCCAGCCUGGACAACUUAGUGAGGCCCUUUCUUGAAGGAUAUGGGAAAAAUAACCCCCAGGGAGAAAGGGAGAACAAUGGGUCCCAGGGAGAGAAGGAAAAUAAUGGGCUCUGGACUUUCACCAUUUCCCAGCAACAACCGGCUCUGAAGCUCCUGACUUCCUGUUCUACACCUGUCUCCCUGAUGCCCAACCAACAGGCUCUGCCUUGAUUAAGUGUCUGUGAUUAAGGCUGAGUACACAUUCAGCCAUGAUGAUUAAGUCUCACUUAAUUCUACAGAAAUCAGACCUCUAUUG